rnacentral:rRNA from 1 species
AUACGUAGGGGGCGAGCGUUGUCCGGAAUGAUUGGGCGUAAAGGGCGCGUAGGCGGCUUUGCAAGUCAGUAGUGGAAGUCCAUUUUUCAAGGAUGGAAGUGCUACAGAUACUGCGGAGCUUGAGUGCAGGAGAGGUUAUCGGAAUUCCCGGUGUAGCGGUGAAAUGCGUAGAGAUCGGGAGGAACACCAGUGGCGAAGGCGGGUAACUGGACUGCAACUGACGCUGAGGCGCGAAAGUGUGGGGAGCAAACAGGAUAGAUACCCUGGUAGUCCACACUGUAAACGAUGAAUGCUAGGUGUAGGAGGUAUCGACCCCUUCUGUGCCGCAGUAAACACAGUAAGCAUUCCGCCUGGGGAGUACGGUCGCAAGAUUAAAACUCAAAUGAAUUGACGGGG